GGUUUCGUGGUGUAGUCGGUUAUCACGUCAGUCUAACAGAAUGAAGCUACAAAUAUGGCUUCACGAUGUGCCCACUGAAGGUCUCCGGUUCAAGUCCGGGCAAAAUCA
rnacentral:tRNA from 1 species